GUAGGUGGCAAGCGUUGUCCGGAAUUAUUGGGGCGUAAAGCGCGCGCAGGCGGUUCUUUAAGUCUGAUGUGAAAGCCCACGGGCUCAACCGUGGAGGGUCAUUGGAAACUGGAGAACUUGAGUACAGAAGAGGAAAGCGGAAUUCCACGUGUAGCGGUGAAAUGCGUAGAGAUGUGGAGGAACACCAGUGGUGAAGGCGGCUUUCUGGUCUGUAACUGACGCUGAGGCGCGAAAGCGUGGGGAGCAAACAGGAUUAGAUACCCUGGUAGUCCACGCCGUAAACGAUGAGUGCUAAGUGUUAGGGGGUUUCCGCCCCUUAGUGCUGCAGCUAACGCAUUAAGCACUCCGCCUGGGGAGUACGGCCGCAAAGGCUG
rnacentral:rRNA from 1 species